UCCUACGGGAGGCAGCAGUAGGGAAUAUUGCGCAAUGGAGGAAACUCUGACGCAGCGACGCCGCGUGGGUGAUGAAGGCCUUCGGGUUGUAAAGCCCUGUCGGAGGGGACGAAACACGAUAUAGCUAAUAUCUAUAUCGCUUGACGGUACCCUCAAAGGAAGCACCGGCUAACUACGUGCCAGCAGCCGCGGUAAUACGUAGGGUGCUAGCGUUGUUCGGAAUCAUUGGGCGUAAAGCGCGUGCAGGUGGCAAGUUAAGUUGGAUGUGAAAUCCCUAGGCUCAACCAAGGAAGUGCAUUCAAAACUAACUAGCUUGAAGAUGGUAGAGGAAGGUGGAAUUCCAGGUGGAGAGGUGAAAUUCGUAGAGAUCUGGAGGAAUAUCGGAGGCGAAGGCGACCUUCUGGGCCAUUCUUGACACUGAGACGCGAAAGCGUGGGUAGCAAACAGGAUUAGAUACCCUGGUAGUCC
rnacentral:rRNA from 1 species